ACGGCUCGAUGCCGAGCUUGGCCAGCAGGGGGUGGUUUUCGACCGGUCCGUCCGCAUCGGGAUGCCACAACACCGCGCCGAAGCGGCGCGGGUCGUGC
rnacentral:tRNA from 1 species